GGACAUUUUUUUACUUGCUCAAGUUUGUAACCUUUUCUCUCAUUUGACAUUUGGUUAAAGAGAAAGCAGUUUUCUUUGUAAAAGGAGAAAGUGAAUGUUUGUGGCUUAAGCCAAAUUUGUGGCUUUAAACCAGCCAGGCUUUGGAUCUUGGUUAACAUUGAGAUUUAAAGUUUCUUCCUGAGUCACCCAAAAUUUGUAAAAGGUUGGAAUGAGGACGUGAUAAGCUGAAGACAAAAAGGACUCUUUCUCCCAGCUGAAAGGCACCUUAGGCAAUGGAGGUAACACAAGGGUGUGGAAGCUCACAACAAACCCCAGAGAAGAACUCACAGGGAGAGCUGCUUAACCCCCGGGGCACACAACACACAAGGGGUUCGUCACCCAGUGCCUUGAACUCCCAGAAAUGUCUGGGUUUCUCUGAGGUAGGUAAGAGGGAAGAAGCUACUUGUAGGUGAUACCUCCAGGAAUAAUCCCUACUAAGCAGCACACUGGACCCCAAACACUUUUCCCUUUUAGCCUUUGGGCAUUUUAAAAGAGAAUCCAAAUUAUGAGCAAUUAUCCAUCUAUAACCAAGCCCUCAUUAAGCAAUGCACCUUUGGAAACUCCAGCGGGGUUUAUGUACAAGACUUAUGGCGCCACCUCCUGUCGAUAGUUGGAGAAAUGGUCUUAUUUGACCUAAGAAGAUCCUAAAUUACAAUGAUCAAAGAGAAUUAUCUUUGAAAUAGCUAGAUUAGUUUAUUUAUAUGCACAAUUUUAAAAAGCCAGCUAUGGAAUCAAAUAAAAUAAUUAAGAGAGUUACUUCCAAUGGCACCCAGAAGCAUCCAAAAGAGGUUUUGACAGAAUUCUUCCCUUAGAGGAAGAAAAUAAAAAGCACUCUAAAACCAUUACUGAAUUUUAAAAAACACUGAAAUGUCUUCUUCUCUCCCUGCUCCCCUGUCUCUCUAAGCCUCCUUGUCAGAACUACCCAGCCCUGAUUGACCUUCUCCUCCUCCUCCUCCUGCCCCUCCUCCUGCUCCCACUGGUUUGGCUCCAUUUCAUCCAGCAUCUGGUAGAGGGGAACCUGCUUUAUCAAUCAUGAUCAAACUUACAGGCAUAGUUAAAAGAAUUCCUUGAUCUUCACCAGGUUCCUAUUGGUUUUGCUAGGAAAUUUGAAUUAAAUAUCCAAGCUUAUGACCCUAGUUAUUCUGACUUCUAGCAACAGAUUCACAUGUUAGUAGCAAAAAUUAAAGCUAAAGGCUGGCUAGACAAAGCUCACUGGAGAAAUCUGUUAGGGAUCUUCAUAAAUGUUCAGAAGAGGACCAUAGACAGGCUUGAAGAACAGCAAAGGCUUUGCAUCAGGCUAUCUCCUCAGUUUUUCAGAGUAGUCAACUGGAACAAAAUACAAUAUCAACAAAAUUCAGAUGAGUCAGUAAUAUACUUUGAGGGCUGUGGAAAAAAUUUUAAAGAAUAUUUAGUUUUAUCCGAAGAAAGCUGUGCUAAUCAUCGAAAUGAUACUCGACCACAUAAACCUCUUCUCUUUAUUAAUUACCCAGCCUCAAGUAUUCCUUUAUAGUAAUACAAAUAGACUAAAACAAAUGCUUUCUCUGAAUAAUAAGUUUCAGGAGCUUCUAAAUGUAUUUUGCCAAGGGGUAAAGUUAACGCCCUGGAAACCAAGUCAUGUAACAGCUGUGUUUCUUCUCUGGGGCACAACUGUAGCUGUCUGACCUUGGUGUGUUGAGAUGUGACACAUUA
rnacentral:lncRNA from 10 species